UACGUAGGUGGCAAGCGUUGUUCGGAUUUACUGGGCGUAAAGAGCGCGCAGGCGGCUGGGCAAGUCCGAUGUGAAAGCUGCCGGCUUAACUGGAAAAUUGCAUCGGAAACUGCUCGGCUUGAAGGUGGGAGAGGGUAGCGGAAUUCCCGGUGUAGUGGUGAAAUGCGUAGAUAUCGGGAGGAACACCAGUGGCGAAGGCGGCUACCUGGCCCGCUCUUGACGCUGAGGCGCGAAAGCUAGGGGAGCAAACGGG
rnacentral:rRNA from 1 species